GCGGAUGGAUACGGUGACGUCAUUUCCUCCGUCCCGCAAACCGAGAGGCUGAUUGGCUGGGGAGUGACGUCACUGGCAGACUGGCACACCCUAACCCAACCUGAUGCAAAAGUUCUGGAGGUUUAAUUUGGCUCCGCUGUUGGGAACUCUUUGGUACUCAAGUAGAAGCAUGGAAGGCCGCACCAUUCCAUCAAACAAACCAGUGUUAAAAAGAAGCGAGUCAUCAGAAAUAAUCCUGCCACUGGGAUUUUGAAGACUGAUUAUUUAAAUUAUGCAUACAUACAUCCAGUGGGCAAUGCCACAAAGUCAACAAGUCAGCAAAUUCCAGUGGAUACCCAAAGUUUUAUUUAAAAGCAACAACUUCCCAGCAUGUUUCAAGCAGAAGUUACACUGUAUCUGGAAAUUCUUCUCCGGUUUCCCCUCAAACUAGAUGGAUCAGAAUCACAACUCGUUUUGAUAAAGAUGUUGCAUUGCCAAGACCUGAAUUGCAGCCAAAGGCACUGCAAUCGCCUGCAAGAGCUUCCCAUACGGCAGGGUUAAUGUGGGUUGCCCAUGACUCACUUCCAUAAAGCAGUGUGCUCAACAUGCAAGCCUGGCAGACCUUCUUCAUGGUACUGGUGGUUGUGAUGAUGAUGAUGAGUUGUAGCAAUAUUUAUUUAUUUAUGCCCUUACAUUUAGGAGAAGCCUUCAUAAUGCAGCUUACAAUAAAAUUGUUAGAAUGAUUGGCUAAACAUAUAACAAAAAAACAGCAUAAGAUAAAAUUGUAUAUGGUGCCAGCAAUAAAAUCAAUUAACAGCUUGGUGGAUUUUUAAAAAAGCAUUUAGAAGUCAUAGUAAAGGGGUCCAGAUGAAACUCCCGGGGGAUGAAAUGCCUCACAGUAUGUUAAAGUUACAUAUAACUAAUAUCUAAAAUAAAACAGUAGACCAGGCACCCCCAAACUGCAGCCCUCCAGAUGUUUUGGCCUACAACUCCCAUGAUCCCUAGCUAACAGGACCAGUGGUCAGGGAUGAUGGGAAUUGUAGUUCAAAACAUCUGGAGGGCCGAAGUUUGGGGAUGCCUGCAGUAGACCAUAGUAUAGAUCUGGGUUGGCUAACAUUGCCCUCCAUAUAUUAUUGGACUCCAACUCCCAUCAGCCCCAGAAAGCAUGAUCAACAGUCAAGGGUGAUGUGAGUUGUAGUCCAGCAACAUCUGGAAGGACACAGGUUCACCAUCUCCUGGUCUAGAUUGGUCUAGAAAUAGCACAGUUUUGUAUUUGAUGUUUGUAUCUGAUUGAAAUCAGUGGGGGGGUGUGCUCUCAGCUAUAAAAUACACUUUACUGAAAAUAAUUUUACCUAUUCAACAUAUGGAUCUACUAGCUUCUAGUUGGGAAGGUAACAACCUUAAGUAUGCCUAAUUGUAAACUGCAGCCAUCAUGAAAUAUAAAUGUAUUUAGUUAGUGCUCCUGCCUGCUCAUCAUUGAUGAUGCAAUGUCUGCUGAAAGUGAAAGAUCUCUGGAACUGACUGGCUGACUUACUGAUUGAUUGAAUUUCUUCCCCACUUUUCACUGUGAGGUCUCAGGGUGGUUUACAGCAAAAAACAUGCCAUGACUUAUUUUGGUGUGACUGCCAGCCCUUGG